rnacentral:misc_RNA from 1 species
AACGCACCUUGCGCCCUUUGGCUAUUCUGAAGGGCAUGCCUGUUUGAGUAUCAUGAACACCUCAACUCUCAUGGCUUGCCAUGACGAGCUUGGACUUUGGGGGGUCUUGCUGGCCUAUGGUCGGCUCCUCUUAAAUUGAUCAGCUUGCCAGUGUUUGGUGGCAUCACAGGUGUGAUAACUAUCUACGCUUGUGGUUUUCCACCAGGUAACCUUCAGUGACGGAGGUUCGCUGGAGCUCAUAAAUGUCUCUCCUCAGCGAGGACAGCUUUUUGAACGUUUGAUCUCAAAUCAGGUAGGACUACCCGCUGAACUUAA